rnacentral:rRNA from 1 species
GUCUACAGCCAUGCCACCCUGAAUGUGCCUGAUCUAGUCUGAUCUCAGAAGCUAAGCAGGGUCGGGCCUGGUUAAUUCUUGGAUGGGAGACCACCUAGGAAGACCAAGUGCUAUAAGUG